UACGUAGGGCGCGAGCGUUGUCCGGAAUUAUUGGGCGUAAAGAGCUCGUAGGCGGCCUGUUGCGUCUGCUGUGAAAUCCCGGGGCUUAACCCCGGGCGUGCAGUGGAUACGGGCAGGCUAGAGGCAGGCAGGGGAGAAUGGAAUUCCCGGUGUAGCGGUGAAAUGCGCAGAUAUCGGGAGGAACACCGGUGGCGAAGGCGGUUCUCUGGGCCUGUUCUGACGCUGAGGAGCGAAAGCGUGGGGAGCGAACAGG
rnacentral:rRNA from 1 species